rnacentral:ncRNA from 1 species
GCCCCGUUCGCGGGGCCGGGGAAGCCGUUCGAGCAGCGUCGUGUCGCGGUCCGGGACUGUCCUCAGUCCCGGGUCGUCUCGGCGCGGUUCCGAGCGGUCGCUCCCUCGCGAGGUGCCGCGGGUCAGCGGCUGACGCCAGCCACCUUCCCGACCCGUCUUGAAACACGGACCAAGGAGUCUAACAUGUGCGCGAGCCGCGGGGCAGUACGAAACCCGUAAGGCGAAAUGAAGGUGAACGCCGGCGCGGUCCGGCGGAGGUUGGAUCCCGUCCCGUCGGGGCGGGCGCACUACCGGCCGAUCUUCUCCGCCCUGUCGGCGAGGUCGAGCGAGAGCGUGCAAGUCGGGACCCGAAAGAUGGUGAACUAUGCCUGAGGAGGUUGAAGCCAGAGGAAACUCUGGUGGAGGACCGUAGCGAUUCUGACGUGCAAAUCGAUCGUCAAAUUUGGGUAUAGGGGCGAAAGACUAAUCGAACCGUCUAGUAGCUGGUUCCCUUCGAAGUUUCCCUCAGGAUAGCUGGCGCUCUGUCGCAGUUUUAUCUGGUAAAGCGAAUGAUUAGAGGUCUUGGGGGCGAAACGCCCUCAACCUAUUCUCAAACUUUAAAUUGGUAAGAAGCCCGACUCGCUCGUUUGGAGCCGGGCAUGGAAUGCGAGUGCCAAGUGGGCCACUCUUGGUAAGCAGGACUGGCGAUGCGGGAUGAACCGAACGCCGGGUUAAGGCGCCCGACGCGACGCUCAUCAGAGCCCACAAAAGGUGUUGGUUGAGCACAGAAAUGCCAACAACCGUGCACUUAUCAGGGAAACGCCUCCGCCGGCCGGCAAGCAACAAAACCUAUUUUAUAUUCGUGAUCGGCUAUCAAACCGACCUGUUUUUGCGCACAGAGUAAUUCGUGGCGAAGUGAUUCUCGUAGAUGAGAUAAGAACAGAUCCCGAACUUUUUUUCGAAUAUUUUCGAAUGAGCCCAACAACUUUUGACGAGCUGCUUUCGCACGUGGAGCCACUUAUAUACAAAU